rnacentral:rRNA from 1 species
CCUACGGGGGGCUGCAGUGGGGAAUAUUGCACAAUGGGCGCAAGCCUGAUGCAGCAACGCCGCGUGAGGGAUGACUGCCUUCGGGUUGUAAACCUCUUUUAGUAGGGAAGCGGUACCUGCAGAAAAAGCACCGGCUAACUACGUGCCAGCAGCCGCGGUAAUACGUAGGGUGCAAGCGUUGUCCGGAAUUAUUGGGCGUAAAGAGCUCGUAGGCGGCUUGUCGCGUCUGCUGUGAAAUCCCGGGGCUCAACCCCGGGCCUGCAGUGGGUACGGGCAAGCUAGAGUGCGGUAGGGGAGAUUGGAAUUCCUGGUGUAGCGGUGGAAUGCGCAGAUAUCAGGAGGAACACCGAUGGCGAAGGCAGAUCUCUGGCCCUACUGACGCUGAGGAGCGAAAGCAUGGGGAGCGAACAGGAUUAGAUACCCUUGUAGUC